rnacentral:rRNA from 1 species
CCUACGGGGGGCAGCAGUGAGGAAUAUUGGUCAAUGGGCGCGAGCCUGAACCAGCCAAGUCGCGUGAGGGAGGACGGCCCUACGGGUUGUAAACCUCUUUUGCCGGGGAGCAACGGGCGUCACGUGUGGCGCCACUGAGAGUACCCGGAGAAAAAGCAUCGGCUAACUCCGUGCCAGCAGCCUCGGUAAUACGGAGGAUGCGAGCGUUAUCCGGAUUGAUUGGGUUAACGGGGUGCGUAGGCGGAUCGUUAAGUCAGUGGUCAAAUUGAGGGGCUCAACCCCUUCCCGCCAUUGAAACUGGCGCUCUUGAGUGGAAGAGAAGUAUGCGGAAUGCGUGGUGUAGCGGUGAAAUGCAUAGAGAUCACGCAGAACCCCGAUGGCGAAGGCAGCAUGCCGGCUUCCGACUGACGCUGAAGCACGAAAGCGUGGGGAUCGAACAGGAUUAGAUACCCUUGUAGUC